rnacentral:rRNA from 1 species
GCUUAGCCUUCAACCUAGAUAGUACCACAACCAACUAUCCGCCAAAUAAUUACGAGCGAAAAGCUUAAAAUUUAAAGGACUUGACGGUGCCCCACAUCAACCUAGAGGAGCCUGUCCUAUAAUCGAUAACCCACGCUUUUACCUCACCCGCCUUUGCACAAAUCACAGCCUAUAUACCGCCGUCCCCAGCCUGCCUAGUGAUAGAUAAUAAGCAAGCAAAAUAGCCAUCAGCACUAACACGUCAGGUCAAGGUGUAGCUAAUAGGCGGGCAGAGAUGGGCUACAUUUUCUAAUACUAGACCACCACCAAAGGCAAACAUGAAAACUAAACCUCAAAGGCGGAUUUAGCAGUAAGCUCGGACUAGACAUGUCCAACUGAAGCAAGCUCUGGGGCGCGU